GCCGUCAGCCUUAUCCCUCGCCGCGCGCUUGAUAUUCUCCCACGCGCAGGCUUCUUCCUCCUCUCCAACGCACGGCGCUCCCUCUGUCUUCUUCCCAUGGCCGAGCGCGCCUGGAUCUUCUCCCUCCCAGGCGUUUGAUAGAUCGGCCGCUUGUUCCUCUCCGCUGCUCGCCGGUUCCCUUUCCCCAAGCUCCAUGGCUGCUACACCUCCCCAGCCGAGCGGCUCUUCCCCACGGCGCUCCCUCCCUGCUUCUCCCUCCCUCUCGCGUCUUCUCCUCGCCGGCGUGCUCCUGCUCCAGCCAUGGCGCGCGCCCCUGCUUCCAUGGAUGCCGCACCCGCUGCUUGCUCCCCUUGCUUCUCCAGUCCGAGCUCCUUCCCCUCGACUUCCCAUGGCCGGCUUCGUGCUCACCCAGCCCCUGCUCUGUUUCUUCCACGGCCGAGUCUCUUUUUCCUUUGUCGUCGCCGUUUUCCUGUGCCGCGGCCUCGCCCAGCCGUUCCUCCUCUUUCCUCUUGCUCGGGUUCAGUCCAGUUCGCCCCUGCGCUUGCCAUGGUGGCCGUCGCGCCCAUGCCGGCUGGAGCUCGCUCGGCUGCGGUCUCGUCCCGGCUCCCUGCUGUGGCUCGCCGCGUCCCUGUGUUUGAAUUGGUCGACCUUCACUCUUCUCCCCAUGGUCGGACAACCUCGUCGAUGCUGCUAUUUGGUGGUCGCCUCUUGGCCUGAUUUCGUGAUUGCAUCUGCACUCCUUUGCUUGGUCUGUCGUCGUUCUCCAGCUGUUCAGCGCAUUCGUCGGGCCGUGCUUUGUGUCGGAGUUCCCUCCCUGCAGACCUCGUCGUCGCCCAUGGUCACAGAUCUCAUUCUCGCCUCCUGUGCGCGCUGACAGCAUUGUCUCCUCUGUGCUCGCUGGCCAUCACGGCGUCCCAGUCUAUCGCGCCGCGCUCUAGUCGUCGAUUCGCGGUCAUGUCUGUUUCUCCAUCAAUCUCCCUCAACGGACCCGCCCUUCACCUUUGGUCGUGCCAGCAGGCACUUGAGUCACCGUCCUCGACGUUUGUUGACGCGCGGGUCGCCUCGGCCUAGGUCCUCGUCUUUCACCAGCAGCUCGUCACGGGACCGGGUGUCGAGCUCCUUUCCCAACAAACGCCGGACCUGCAUCUGCGUGCGCCAUCAGCCUUAGCUCGUCGGUCACGCUCGCUGGAUGUCCGAUCAAGGACUUCAACUACAGGUUGUUGUCGUUCGUGCAAACAUCAAAUCAAAUUGUGAUGUGGUACGAUAAUUCAUCACGUGAUGCGAAAGAUGAGCUGAGUCGACCCCAAGAUGCUGUUAAGCGUGGGCUUCUUCGCAAAGUGAUACUGAUGGACGAACCUGAAGAUGGAUAACCUGAUCAAGUGCCAGGACAAAAGAUAGUCGUCAAGUGGAUGUCACCUAACAACACCAACCUAGUGUUAUCAAGGUUAAGAGUCACUUGAUUGUGAUUGUUGUUAAGCGCCGGUGGGCACGACCUUCUUAUAAGUCUAAGUAACUCUUCUAUACUUCUAAUUGAGAAUGGUCACUUAAGCUAGCAUAUAUUUCAAAAUUAUAAAUAAUUUAUAACUGUUCAAAGUUAUUUCUUUGAACCACUUUUGUAAUCACUCCGAUCAUGUACAAUGUAAACUUGAUAUAACUUGUAAAAUUUGGUAAUAAGAUUUCCGCUGCAAAUUGUUGGUGUGUGAUUUGUGUUUACUUAAUCCUGUGGUCCUGGUUGUAAGUGGUUUAUCCGUGGUCCUUGGGGCACUCGGAUAGAUCCUGUUAAGUUAUCUGGUGUACAUGCAUAGCCGUCUGAGGUCUUUGAGACAAGGACAGGUGCAUGUGGGCCCAAUAACUUGGGAGGUUCUGCCACACCGAACCUCGGUAAAACAAAUCACCGUGUUCACUCGUCAAUCUUCACUUGAUUUGUUUUUUCUCUCUAAAAGUUCCCUUUCUCAUAUUGAUUUAAGUUUGCUCCCAAAGGUCAUUCGCAUUGUUUGAGCAACUCUAAGCAAGGAGAACCAUCUUCCGCACUCCAAUU
rnacentral:misc_RNA from 1 species